GCACGUCGUAUAGUGGUUGGUGUUUAACGCACAUCGCAUUACCGUGUACGCUCUCUGUCGAUGAAUAUGAUUUUCGAACGUUCCGUCGGCGAAAAAACUAAACACUGAAAAGUGAUACGUUUUGUCGACGGGUUCGAUCGCGACGUAGAGAUUCUCUACAUAGUGGGUUCGAUCUUCAAAACGCCGUGUUACGUACCAGGGACCCAGUCGGCGGGCGCUCAUCGCCGUCGCCGCCGCCGCCGACGAGAACCGCCGCCGCCGACGACGAGAACCGCGUUUGCUGUUAUUCCCGCGCGCCGCCGGUACGCGAGUGGCAUGGGACCCUGUUCGCCCGAAAUCGUCUUUGGGACACGACGGUGGUCGUACCGACCGCUGGCCGAAGCACAACGAACGAGAGCACAGCGAACAGCAAAAUAAAUAAGAUUCGGUCAUAACGAGGCGGCGGCGGCGGCGGAACAGCACGGCGGCCGGCGCUCGCGGUCUGUCAAGUCAGCAGCGCCGCCGUGCGUGUCACAGUCAGCUGCCGCGUUCGGCGGUUGCCGAGUUGGUUUCGGCGCGGCGCACGGACAGUGCGACUAAAUAGCGAAAAAGAUUAUUUUAUCGUGUUCCGCGAUUUCGGGCGUCGCGGCCGGCGACGUGCGUAUCAGCGACAGCAGCUGCUGCCCGCGGGCGAUACGACGCGUUAUCGUCUCCAUUCCACCGCGAGCGAACGAUUCGAUAUCAGCGCGCGCGUACGACGAGUAAAUAGUGUGCUCGUGUUUUUCUUUGCAUUUUCUUUUCUGUUUUCACUGUCCCGUUGAAACGUCACCUACGACUACUUAUGAAUCAAUGGGUUUUUUUUUUUAAAAUCACUGCUCACCGAUCGGUAAUCACCGCAGAACACUGAUUACCGAUAAAACUAUGUGAACGAUAAUAAUAUUGUGAAUUUACGAAAUCAAACAGCGAAUUUGCUGAUCUGCGAUUUUGCUGUAUAAUGUUGAAUGGUUCUACACUGCAUGUGUCUAAGUUAGGAAGAGUAAAAACCUGGAGUUUAAUAUCACGACGGAACACGGAAAUAGUUGGAUUUUAAUAAAUAAAUUCCUUAAAAUUCUGGGUUGCACGAAACUGGACUAUAAAAAUUUGGAAUUGAACCAUCAUCCUUUGAUUAUUGCAGUUAGUUUAAUUGUGACCUUGACUGCCAUUCUCAAAGAUUAUUGGUUCUAUUCUAAUUGUAUAAUACACAGAAAAAUGUACAACAAAAGAGUAUAAUAUUGAAUGGUUUUGCGUUACAUGUUGUAUAAGUUGGGAAGAGUAAAAUCCUGGAGUUUAAUAUCAGGACGGAAAUAGCUUGGUUUAAUAAAUAAAUUCCUUAAAAUUCAAGGCUGCACGAAACUGAACUAUAAAAAUUUGGAAUUGAACUAUCUGUCUUUGAGUGUUGCAGUUAGUUUAAUUGUGACCUUAACUGCCAUUCUCAAAGGUUAUUGGUUCUGUCCUAAUUGUAUAAUAGACAGAAAAAUAAAAUAUCACAUCUUAAGUACGAAAUAAGUUUUAUUUUAUUUUAUAAUAUGUACAUUGUACAUACAUAUAUUAUAUGGUAGGGGUGACCAUAAUAAUGUGUUCGCUAUCUAAACUGACAUAUACAAUUAUGCCAAGAGCACAAAUGC